rnacentral:lncRNA from 1 species
UUAUUAUUAAUUAUUAAUCGUUAUUAUUUUCCGGACGGGCUCGCCAGCUGCCCCGGCUCGACUCGAGCCCGAGCGAGCGCGGCGGAGGGCGCUGCCCCGCGGGAGCGCCGCCGGCGGAGCGGCGGCGAGGCGGGAGGCGGCGCUCAGACCAAGCCCGGCGCGGGCACCAUCGCCUCCGGCAGCGCCGCCGGCAGCAGCAAGGCGCUCCGCGGCCCGGGGCCGCCGCAGGGCGGGGCGGCGGCGGAGGGGCUGCCGGGGGGCACCGCUUCCACUAGGCGAGGGCGGGGGCCCGGCGGCUGCGCCCCACCAUUGUUACGCUCCUCGCGCACCCGGGAAAAAGGAAGGGAAGUAGAGCGCGGGCGGUGGGAGGGAGCGGGGAGGAGAGCUGGCUGGCGGCCGCGCUCGGCCCGUACGCCAGAGGCACUGCUUACUGCCGCCGCGCUCGCUUGGGUGGGGACUCGGGCCGGCGCUCGCCCCGCCGCCGCUAUCCCCGCGCAGCGGCGCCCAGCGCACGGCCCAGCCCCGGCGCGGGGCGGCGCCCAGCCGCGCCCCGGAGAGGUGUCUCCGAGAAUAAACUUCUCCCCGCCUCCCCCCCCCGCCGCUCUCUCCUCCCUUCCCGCCUCCUCGGUCGCUCGCUCUGCUCCCCGUGGCGCCCGCUCAGCCUCCCCCCUGCCGGCGGCUGGGCCCGCAGGCCCCGCCGUGCCCCGCUGCCCCGAGGCGGGAGGCCCGGCGGGCGGAGAGAGGGAGGGAAGGGGCCGCCCCCCGCCCUGGCGAGCAGAUGGCGGCCGCGUGCCGCCUGGGGAGCGGCGUGCGAGGGGGCCGCGAGGUGACGGAGGGGCCUCGAGCCGCAGGGGAAAGUUAAAGCUUCUCAGUGCCGCCUCCGCAGAGCUGCGCGGGGCGGGAGGGGUCGGGAGGAGAGGCGACCGCUGGGGACCCCGCGUUCCCCCUGCGGGCAGCGCACGGCUUCGCCGCCGCUUUUCUGUGCGGGCCGCGGCUGCCCCGUGCCCGCGCACAGCGAUGGGGCGUGGCGGUAUUGUGGAAAGGCUGCGGCUCCGUCCGAGGGCUCUCACCGCCCGUCCUGGCGGUUCUCGUGGGGAGGAAACAAAGCGGGGUGGGAGGCCGCCCGAAAUCUUUCUCCCUUGA